AUUGAACGCUGGCGGAAUGCUUUACACAUGCAAGUCGAACGGCAGCACGGGGCAACCUGGUGGCGAGUGGCGAACGGGUGAGUAAUGCAUCGGAACGUGCCCAGUCGUGGGGGAUAACGCAGCGAAAGCUGCGCUAAUACCGCAUACGAUCUAUGGAUGAAAGCGGGGGACCGUAAGGCCUCGCGCGAUUGGAGCGGCCGAUGUCAGAUUAGGUAGUUGGUGGGGUAAAGGCUCACCAAGCCAACGAUCUGUAGCUGGUCUGAGAGGACGACCAGCCACACUGGGACUGAGACACGGCCCAGACUCCUACGGGAGGCAGCAGUGGGGAAUUUUGGACAAUGGGCGCAAGCCUGAUCCAGCAAUGCCGCGUGCAGGAUGAAGGCCUUCGGGUUGUAAACUGCUUUUGUACGGAACGAAAAGACUCUGGUUAAUACCUGGGGUCCAUGACGGUACCGUAAGAAUAAGCACCGGCUAACUACGUGCCAGCAGCCGCCGCGGUAA
rnacentral:rRNA from 1 species